AACUUGACAAAUAAAAGUUCAGGUUCAGGUUACUUUAUUGAUACCCGUAGGUAAACUAGGUUUACAGUCUAAGGGGCAAGACAUCCGUAAACCUUUUAAGGCCACCACAUCACAUGCAACACAUCAAACAUUAAAACAUAUAAAACAGACAAUAAAACAAGGAUAAAAAGGAAUAGAAAACAGUAUAU